CGCCAUUUUCGAGUGAUGCCUGAGCCCAUCAAUCUAGCGGGAGAGAUGGGAUAACCUGUCCGACAGUAGAUCGCCGAUAGGACUCCACCGAAAAAAUCACUUAAAAAAUCUCCAAAAAUCACUUCAAGCCGAGGGCAGUCGGCGGAGCUUGGCCAGGGUUGGCGCUGUCGUUUGCCUGGCCUGCUGACGGCCGUCUUCCCGUGACAAGAAAGUUCAGGCUGGCGGAGAAUUGAGGACCCGAAGUAGCGGGUGCCUCGCGCCCGUCGCGCUUUGACGCUGGAACGUGAGGAGCCCCAGGAGUGGGAGUUUCCCGCUGCCGCCCUCGGCCCCGAGCGCCUCGGUCCGGACGGGGGUCGCGCUGCCCGCUGCCGCGCUUCGGGGCAGAUAGGGCUUUUGAGGUUCUCGCCGCUCCUGGGAAAGCUCCCAGUUCCUACCAAUUCUUACUCGACAGCUCGAAUGAUUUGAGCCAGUGGCGGCUUUAAGUAAUACUUGAUAGGUUUUGACCUUAAGGAGAGAGCCAGUUCUGGAGAACAACCUAACUUCUUUGAUUGAGCACUCACAUAAUGCACUGGAACAUGUUAGGAGAUUAAGGUUUAUAACGAUAAAAUGAAGACCAUGAUAAAACAGCCUCGUACUUAGUUCAUCAGUUCUUACCUUUCUUACCUACUUAAUGAAGAUGUCUUAUGAAAAGUGUACUUCAAGGAAUGAAAUGCUGUUUAUAAUAUAUGCUGUUACCAAGGAAGGGGAAAAAUAAUGAAAUGUGAAUUAAAUUCCUGAAAUUCUGAGUCUCAAAAUGCACUUAAUCAUAAUUUUCAAGCUAUGCAGUUUCUUUCCAGUCUUUUAUGAUAGAAGAGGAAAUAGCCUGUCAGUACCUGAUGAAACAGGUGGAUAUUACUAUCCCUUAUUUAUGGAAAAAGUUUUAUUCUAAGUAUUGUUUCUCAUUGAGUAUUAACAAAAGGGAGAAAAAUUAAUGUCCUAAACUUUUGAGAUAGAUUUGGUUCUAGCUAUAUGCUAUGAAGAAAAUGUUGGCAAAUAAAUAAAUUUAAACCUCUUCUGUUAAAUUUCCGUGCAAGGUGACAAGAUUAACAACAACAAAAAGAAUUCUUGAAUUUGUUGAGAGGUUUUUCUGUCAUUUUCCCACUCUUCCAGCCCCAGACCUCAAAAGGCAUAUAUUUUGACACCUAAGGCACAUGAAGGAAGGAUUGAGAUUGGAAGCUACAGACAUUGUCUGUUCUGAGCAGUUUCUGACAAUAGACCACUGUAGCAAAGGGCAAUAAAUGCCACUGAGAAUAUCCCUCAACACAAAUCUUUACAUCUAAUUUACAUGUCUGAUCUACUGACUUCUGUCUUUUCAUGACUAAAUUAUGGAGUUCAGUUCAGUUUGGACUGUUGGAUGUCCAGCACUGUGGGGGAAAUAAAGCACAGUCCCAAUCCUCAUCUUAAAAGAAUUUGUGGAACCUCAGACAUUGCAGCCAGAAUUUCUCGGGGUCUCUUUUUACAAGAAGGGUAAGACAAACCUAUCCUGUUUGGCUUCCAUCUUGGGAACCCAAAGAUAUUCCAAAUUCUUACCAGAGUGUGAAAAUGGAGAAUAACAUGAAAUAGAAACACUGAAUAUUUGGUAUGUUUAACUCAACUGAGAGGGAAAAGCCUCUUUAAAGUAAUGUUUUCUGGUUUUGAGGUACUGAUAUGAAAUCUGCAGGUGCAGAAUGCUGCCUACCUAAAAGCUCUCUCUGGUUAGACAAGUCUUAGGCACAUUUUAGCUUUGGGAACAUAGUCUUAUUUAUUUUGCUGCAUGUUAUUGCUUUUUUGUUCUAUGUCAUGCUUACUACUCAUUUCCCAUGUAAGGUGUUAGCUUUUUAUCCAUUUAAAGACAUGUGGUUGGAUCUAUCUCAUAGUUUAGAUAAAUACUAAGGCAUUUUCUAAGCUUAAUAAUUAUGAGAUGCUGAGUUUUUUGGCAAAAUUUGUACAGAACUUUUCUUCUCUAGUAGGUCCACUAGAAGGCCAAAUAAUUCUUUAGGUGUAGUUCUGUGGCAAAGCUGGUAAUUAUGUUUUGUUUAAAACACUAAGUUUGAUGUCACAUUACUCUCUUUGAUGGCUUCUUUGGCUCCAGAAAGGUAAUAAAAAUUCCUAAAUUUUAAAAAAA